ACUCAUACCUGGCAGGGGAGAUACCAUUAUUGUAAAAGUGUUUUUCCCAGGGUAAGGCUCAUCUACGUAUUGCACUUUGGAUGUGCUGAUCCCUGUGAUUUCCCCAAAUGUGGGAAAAUCAACUGCCUAAUUUGUGGUAGUGGGGGACUGUGUUUGUGGUUUCCCCUG
rnacentral:snRNA from 1 species